rnacentral:rRNA from 1 species
GUCGAAUGGGGAAAUUCAUAKGAGUCUCGAGUAUGGCGUCGAGCUGUUGUGUGACUGACGAGGUACGCUUCGUUAGCGCCUUCAGUUCGUCRAACCGUAUUCGAACACGUGCACUUUUCCUCUAGUAGGACGUCGCGAUCCGUUGGGUGUCGGUCUAAGGCCUGCGGUGGAGCUCGCUCCGACGUUUCGGCGUUUCGGUACGAACCCGCAGUGUCCCGAUCGACUCGCUCGACGGUAUAAAGAUGGCGCGGGGCCGCUACUCAGUUAGCGUUCGGCCUACGGCAAGCACGUACGGUGUUACGGCGAUCAGACCUGGUCGGAUCCCGUUCCCGGACGACUGUUGGUACGUAGUGUUCUCGAACAGACCUCGUAGAAACGCCGAUCUGCGACGCUNUAGCUUUGGGUACUUUCAGGACCCGUCUUGAAACACGG